GAUGAACGCUGGCGGCGUGCCUAAUACAUGCAAGUCGAGCGAACAGACGAAGAGCUUGCUCCUCUGACGUUAGCGGCGGACGGGUGAGUAACACGUGGAUAACCUACCUAUAAGACUGGGAUAACUUCGGGAAACCGGAGCUAAUACCGGAUAAUAUAUUGAACCGCAUGGUUCAAUAGUGAAAGACGGUUUUGCUGUCACUUAUAGAUGGAUCCGCGCCGCAUUAGCUAGUUGGUAAGGUAACGGCUUACCAAGGCAACGAUGCAUAGCCGACCUGAGAGGGUGAUCGGCCACACUGGAACUGAGACACGGUCCAGACUCCUACGGGAGGCAGCAGUAGGGAAUCUUCCGCAAUGGGCGAAAGCCUGACGGAGCAACGCCGCGUGAGUGAUGAAGGUCUUCGGAUCGUAAAACUCUGUUAUUAGGGAAGAACAAAUGUGUAAGUAACUAUGCACGUCUUGACGGUACCUAAUCAGAAAGCCACGGCUAACUACGUG
rnacentral:rRNA from 1 species